AAUCGAUUCAAGUGCACCAGGAAGGGAAAUGCCCCAGAGUGGGACAGCAUCAGCUGAAACCUUCCUUCGCCUUUUAUAAUUACAGAAUAGAAAAGAAAUCCUCGUUCACAUUACAAAUACAGUCCUGUAUAAAAACAAGCCAACGGAAAAGGGGGAAUAAGGAAACCCAAAAGGUUGCGGCGCCGGUGCCUGGCUCCCACCGAGCUCAGGAGGGAGGGCAGCUCCUCUGAAUGAGUUAGAAUGACUCCAGGCUUUUCCUUCUGCUUCCUGCUGGCUUGGAGAAGGGGUUUGAGCAGGUGGGUGCCUGCCCUGCCCAUCCCAUCCCACCCCAUCGCAUCCCAUCCCAUCCUAUUGCAUCCCAUCCCACCGGUCAGCGAGAGCAUCCUUGGUCCUGGAGAGGAAAAUCAGCCCUGGAGAUGCUGUUGUUGCUGGGGCUGGGCAGCGCUUGGGGCUGGGGAUGUGUUUUGGGGAUAAGGGGGAAUCUGUCACCUGAAAAACAUUAUUUUCCUUGGAAAAAAUAGGGGAAAAGGUGGAAAAAUUAUUGCCUGUAGAGUUCGCAGCUUGGCUGGAGGCGAUGGAGGGGCUGGUGGGGGGAUGCAGCCAAAUCCAGGGGGAUUUGGGGUUUGGGCUUGGGCAGCUUCGGCUGUUGGCACUUCCCAGCUGCGUGUUGGGAAACACAAAGACUAUCCCCGUAUAACCCCCAGGAUGGGAGGACAAACCCCUGGGAGGCAGAAUUCACCCCCCACACACACACUCACAGAUGCCAAGGGUGGGCUUGGGGCCAGAUCCAGGAGACACCACAUCCCACCUCCAGGAAACAAAGGAGAAGAAGGAGGAUAUGGGGAGCUGGGAUGCUUCAUGGAACUUCCUUUUCCUUCCAGCUUCCUCUGGGGUGUUACUUCCCAGCUCAUCUCCAUUCACAAAGCAAUCGCUGCCCAAUGGAUCUUGAACAUUCCCCCCCCCCCCCAAAUAACCAUUCCCCAUGUCCCGAUGUCACCCCGCUCCUGCUGCCGGACCUGAUGGGGUGGAUUUGCCCCCAAGAUCCCACAUGGAUGGAGGGACCGGGGGGGGGGUUGGAGGCCCUGGGGUGCCCUGGAGUGGGCAGAGCGCUGCUGAAGGCACGGUGUCGGCCGGGGGGGGGGGUCAUGUUCAGCCACUGCUCAGGCACUUCAAAUUAAUACAAAUUAACCAAACCCAGUAAUUAGAAAGGAGAAAACCAACCCAAAACAUUCAUGAGAUGCGUUAAAACAGCCGGAAAGGGGCUGUGUCAAAGCAGCGUCAGUAUUGCCAACUUGGAGCAAGACCCCCCCCCAAAAUGUGGGAGGGAUAGGGGGGCUUGCAGGAGGAUUCGGGGUGCUCUGUGUCCCUCCAUGUCCCCAGGCUGGGGGGGAAUUGAGACAAGAUGCUGACAGCCGGAUCCAGCUCCUGAUGGUGAAGGGAAUCAUCCGGGACCAAACCCCUUUGGCACUGUUCCAUCCAGCCAGGCGGGGCUGGGAAAUUCCUUCUGGGAGCAAAACCCCCAUUUUUGGGGCCAGCCCAACUCCCAGACCCGGAGUUUCAGGCA
ensembl:lncRNA